rnacentral:tRNA from 1 species
GGAAAUAUGCCCGAAUUACAAGGAUUACUUUGAUAGAGUAAACUACAGAGACUAGCCCCUCUUAUUUCCU